rnacentral:lncRNA from 10 species
AGCCUGCCUGCACCCAGGCGCUCAUUAAAACAGCAGGUUGCUCCACACUGCCUCGUGUUGUCUGUUGGCACACUCUCAAGAGUUUGAACGGAUACAAGAAUCUUUCAUCUGGUGCCGAAACCCGGGAGGGGCUCCGGUCUUCGUCCCCCGUGGACCUACCCCUCCGCCCCAGAAAGCAGGCCACAGCAGCCGGACAAAGGAAGCUCCUCAGCCUCCAGUUGCUUCUCUGUGCAUGCACAUCAGUCACUGAUCUCACCUACUGACACUGCUGAGUAUGAAGAACUAAUUGGAGAAGGAAGCCGUUGUAUAGCAGAUGCAGAGCAGCAGCAAAAAUGGUAAUGAAAAUAGAAGAUAAAUUAGAAAAUUUGGAAAAACCCAAACAGAUCAGCCAUAUUGAAGGGAAAAAGAAAAACAAAACAAAGUGGGAGGGCAGAAAUGUAGAACGGUAUACACUCUUUUAACCCCAAGGAUGAAUGUAGCCAAGAACACAGUGGGGACUUAGGAGUCUCAGCACAGAGCAUUCUCUACUCCCUACUGCUCAGGCAAAGAACUCCUUCAUCAUGCAGAACCAAAACUGGUGUAGAGUCUUAAAUGACCUGGGUAUCUCUACGCAGAAGAAAGCGCUUUCCAUGUAAAAGGAUUAACUUGAACCUGGGUGCUCAAGGGACACCCUAGGCUGCUUAUCCCACUGAUUCUGAUCUGACUGUGUUAAGUAAUAAAUCAUGUGGUUAC